ACGUACACUCCUACGGGAGGCAGCAGUGGGGAAUAUUGGACAAUGGGCGCAAGCCUGAUCCAGCCAUGCCGCGUGAGUGAUGAAGGCCCUAGGGUUGUAAAGCUCUUUCACCGGUGAAGAUAAUGACGGUAACCGGAGAAGAAGCCCCGGCUAACUUCGUGCCAGCAGCCGCGGUAAUACGAAGGGGGCUAGCGUUGUUCGGAUUUACUGGGCGUAAAGCGCACGUAGGCGGACUAUUAAGUCAGGGGUGAAAUCCCGGGGCUCAACCCCGGAACUGCCUUUGAUACUGGUAGUCUUGAGUUCGAGGGAGGUGAGUGGAAGUCCGAGUGUAGAGGUGAAAUUCGUAGAUAUUCGGAGGAACACCAGUGGCGAAGGCGGCUCACUGGCUCGAUACUGACGCUGAGGUGCGAAAGCGUGGGGAGCAAACAGGAUUAGAAACCCGAGUAGUCCCAUG
rnacentral:rRNA from 1 species